rnacentral:miRNA from 1 species
AGAUUUCGGGGGAUGAAGUGCA